CUCUACCUGCCACCCAUCACAGAACUCAGAGUUUCACCACUUCCUUCUCCAUUUUCUUUAGCUGUCAGCAUAUAGUUAAUGGGCAACAACAAAGCUCUCCAUCCAGUUCUGGGAAAUAAUAAUCAUGGUUAAUAGUUAUUGAGAACUGAUGAUUUCGUUUCUUCUUCAUACCAACGCUUGGGGUAGGCACCAUUUUAAAAGCGAUUGGAGACAGGUUAAACAACUUGCCCUCAAUCAACGGUUGGGAAGUGAAAGAACCAAGCUUCAAAUCCAGGUCUGUCUGGGUCUUGAGCCAAGCUCGAAGUCUGUGUCACAUUGCCCAGGACUCGGCUGCCAAUUCUCCCCACCUCCUCGUCCCUCACUGCUGCAUCAGCAAAUCCAGGGCUCAUGGCAGGAAGAGCAGAGAAGAGCAAAGAUGAAAACUCCUCGAAGUCACAUCUAUCCAUCCUUGCCUGGCACAGAGGAGAUGCUUCAUUUGGAUGUGUUGCUGGAGGGGAGAGGUGCAAGCAGUAUGCCAUGGGCACUCAGAGAAAGAGACUAUCUUUAUUCCUGUAAGCUUCAACUAGGGAGCUUCAAUGUUGCGCAAAUGACAGCAGAGAGAGUCAUCAGAUGUCUACGUGCACUUGGAGAUUCUAGGAAGCCCAGUAGAAAUGCCAGAGAGUUUAUGGAAAGAUCAGAUGACAGAAGGAAUGGCUUUGGAGACAGAGAGAAGCUCAACCCUUGCAGGUGACUGAAGUCAGGAGCCUAAUUCAUCAGUGACAAGAAUUGUUGAGUCAAUGGCUGAACGAGAAGGUUAUGAAAACCCUCACAGAAGAGAUGGCCUCACUCCUGCUCCUAGCUGAAACUAAUUUUGGAUGAACAAAAUUUAUGUGCUGAAUAAAUGCUUUACUUAUUUUUUUCCGGCUCGA
rnacentral:lncRNA from 1 species